CACCAGCAAAGCAAUAUGUCCGAAUUAAGCAAGACAGAAGAAGCUGGGUUGUGAAAACCCGGAACCAGCUGAACUGGAGGAGUUUCGGGACACUUCACCUCCAAACUGUAACAGAAAGAUUCCAUUAUCAUCCCAUUUACUGUGGAGGAGAUGGAGGUGACUUGCUCAGAGAUCACAUGGCUUGGAUCCCUUUCCUUCUGAAAUUAGUGGAGAAUCACAAAAUGAACUUUCCUCAGUCCAGAUGGACUUUCUAGAACCCAUCAAUGAACAAUCAGGCCUAUAUCUCCUGUGACUUGGGAUAUCAUUACAAAAGACAUAAAGGUUCAAAACAGCCUUUCACCUACACCCCAAGAAAAUCUGGCAACAUGCAGUAGGAAAAGAAAAAAAAACUUUGGAAUCAGACAGAGCCAGAUUGAAUGGGCAUUGCUUAUCUCCAACGCCACAAAGGAGCUGUGGAAUCAAAUCAAAGGUCGAUUGGCAGGAGGACUUCAGAAACUCACAGGGAAAAGUACUUAAUCUGAAAGGACAGCAAUGACAAGCCUUGCUCUUCUCCUUGUGUUAUUUAUGCCCACCCUUUGAAUAGGUAAUAGACCAAUCGGAGAAAGUUCAGAGGAAGCAGAGAAACUUUAUACAAGUAUUUAGGAAACUGGGGGUGACUAAGUAGACCAGAAGAAUCAAGAUGGCUGUCAGAUCUCUUCCAUGCUGAGAUUCAAGCCCUGGGAUAGUGGGGAACUAUCUUGAUCAUCACAAUGCCCCAAGGGUCUGGCAUGGUGUGUAGGAUAUAGUUACUGCUCCAGAAAUAUAAGU